AGAACCUGGAGCUUGUCUGUUCAGCUACACUGGGUGGCCAGCAUGCUCCACAGAACUGAGAUUAAUGGUGUACACCAUGGAAAGAAAUUCAGAAAUUUGCAUGGAAUGGAAGCUAAAAUCUUAUGCUAGUCUAUAUCUACCUGGCAGAUAGUGGCUGAAAACACAUAGACCUAGUUUUUAAAUUGAUUUCAAUAUAGAAUGACUAUAAAGUCCAGGAGUCAUGCAUUGUAGACUUCAGAAUGUGAGGACCUUAUUGACAAUGUGUGAUUGGCAAAAGGGAAUGUUUGGGCCUAUCCUCUGGCAGUGACUGAAGUCAGUAAACCAGACAACAUGAACCACUCCAUGGCUUUUGCUCAGUGUAAAGUCCCAUGACACGGCCCAUGGAACCACAUCAGAGUCUUUCUACUAUUUGGCAGUGAUCUAUGAUGGGACAGAAUGCCAGGUCCUGCGCAUGCUUAGGAAGUUUUCUACCCCUGAGUGACACCAUUAAUUUUUCUUUUAAAUCCUACAUCCUGAAGAAGAAUACAAGAAAAUGAGACCCUUGUUGCUGUAGUUUUCAAAAGACUGACAUGGUUAAUCUUGGAGAGAGAAGACCAAAGAGCCAGGUCUUGAACAAUCGGAGCUGCUCAGACUGCUGUUGCAGCUGCUGGAGAGAUAAGCACUUUGCAAGUGUGCUUCACCACUUCAUUUCCUUAUUUUAUGAAGGAGGCUUCUGCUUGUGUUUGACCUUGGGAUUUCAGGGCUUUUGGCUGGUUUUCUUUGCAGUUCUUUUGCAAAGCUCCUAAGAAUUUUAACACAGGAGAAAACUACUUGGAGUGCUCUCUCAUAUGCCAAUCCUGUCAUUUGUGCCAAUGUGCCCCAUUGUGACUCAGGGGAUGAGGUGAGACUUUGAAUCUUUAUUGACACUCUUCUUUGGAAAAUUAAGCACAUUCCUCCCUCCUGCCUCCCCGUGAGCCUGUGUCAUCCUGGGUAUUGUCACUUAAUUGCUGGGAUGCAGAAUGAGAACAGUUUUACCCCCUCAUCUUCAGCUCAUCAGAGAGAAAGUUCUCUAACAAAGCUUUUCAUCACUCAAAACUUAAGUUGAGCAUGUUCUCAAGGAAUGGUGUUUUUUGGUUUUUUGUUUUUUUUUUAAACACACUUACCUAAAAUUGAUGAAUCUUUAUUUAUUGAUAAAUAGAUUAAUGAUAAGAGAGGCCUCCUGCUGGGGGCCUCUGCAAAGGUUGCUUUCAAAAUGCUGAUAUAAGCCGGUGUUGGUGGCUCACACCUUUAAUCCCAGCACUCGGGACACAGAGGCAGGUGGAUCUCUGUGAGGUCGAGGCCAGCCUGGUCUCCAGGGCCAGUGC